rnacentral:misc_RNA from 1 species
GAUGAAGAACGCAGCGAAAUGCGAUAAGUAAUGUGAAUUGCAGAAUUCAGUGAAUCAUCGAAUCUUUGAACGCACAUUGCGCCCGCCAGUAUUCUGGCGGGCAUGCCUGUUCGAGCGUCAUUUCAACCAUCAAGCCCCCGGCUUGUGUUGGGGACCUGCGGCUGCCGCAGGCCCUGAAAACCAGUGGCGGGCUCGCUAGUCACUCCGAGCGUAGUAAUACAUCUCGCUCAGGGCGUGCUGCGGGUUCCGGCCGUUAAAAAGCCUUAUUUACCCAAGGUUGACCUCGGAUCAGGUAGGAAGACCCGCUAAACUUAAGCAUAUCAAUAAGCGGAGGA